CCUGGGAGGGGAUGAGAGAAGCAGUGAAGCACUAUGGGAUGGCACUGUGAGGACCAGAGGGAAUAAAUUUGAAAAUUAAAAGUAAUAUUUCACUCACAAAUCAAAUAAUAAUUUGAGAUUUAGAAGUUGUGUUUUUGUCCUGGUGUCAAUAAAGUAUGGACUCUAUUGUUUAUUAGUCAACACUCAUUAUUUUAAUAAUACUUUUAAUAAAGAAGUCACUUUUUAACUGCUCAUCUAAACAAAGCUUGGGUUUUUUGAUACUACCAGACUUCAGCAGCAGGUGGAGCUGUUUCAACAGUUCCUGAAACACAGGAAGCCAAAGUUGUCACAGCACUUGGUGAGAACUUUUUAUUAUUCAUGAACGUUUCUGCCUCUAUCCCUAACAUACUUCCUGCAGGUGGCGCUGGGUGUCUCAUCAAUUCACUUUGUGAUGCCCUGGUUCCUCACCUCGCUGCCCUGCUGGGAUCCUGUCCUGACUGUGUGGGACUACAUUUAUCCAGCCUGGCCUGUCUGCUGUGUUUGGCACUGCACUGACCGUCAUUGAUCUUCUGGAGGCUCAACUGAUGGAGCUGAACCAUGAAGGAUCAGUGUUGACUCUGCUGCUCAGAUGGUGCCGACUACAAGGUUCUGGUCCCGACUCUAUGGGAGAUCCUGGUCCAGGACUGGAAGGACUAGUAGACUCUACAACCACAGAACCAAAUCAGGAGCUUAAAGAGUUCUGACCCGGUGGUCCGUCUGGCCCAGCAGUACCUGUUCAACCACAACUCAAGCCCAGUCCGGCGUCCAGACAGGUCCGACUACUGACGACCUGGACGUCACCAACAAAAGCUCAGCCAGGAGGUGGAGCCUGUGUGUGGGCAGAGGUCAGCAGCCCGUAUGUGAGGGCAGGAGCAGGAGUGAUGUCAUUGUGUCGGUGUGGGAAAAUUGACAGGGUGUGUUUUUCCAAAUUAAAAUCACGGCUGAGCCAGUGCCACACAAACAGUUCCACCGGUGACAGAAACCUGGUUCCAGAGGUCGUCUCUCCUGGGGUUCUGGAGUCGUUUGUAUAUGAAUAUAAACCAAUUCGUAGACGGUUCACCACCGAGAGGCGCCACCUAUAAAAACACAACAAUUCUGAUUGAUCUUCUCUUUCACCCCCAGUGGGAGUGUACUGCAGCUUUACCAACGUGAAAGAUAAUCUUAUCCAAGUCACAGAUGUUUCUGACUGAUGUAGGAUGGACAGCAGAGACAGACACUUCAGUGAUGGAGGAACGGGUGCACAACAUAAGAAAUACUCUCCUCCACCUUCUCCGGAGAAGGAAACGAAUUGGUGAUGUCACAGCUCCGAGGCUGAUUGAAGCUGACCAAAGUGACUCAACAGCAGAAAAGAUCCGACUGUGAAUCACCUGUGACCAAAGACUCUGCUGUGAGUUCCACUCAGCUCCAGGUGAAGGAUUUUCAGCGAAGUCAACGCAUUGAUGGAGCGAACAAAUGAACCUUGAUUACUUCGAUUCAAGACCUCCAGUCUUUAAUUGAGAACCCUACAGACACCAACAGAGUGCCGGCCUCGAUGGACCCUGUUGUCCAAAAACAGCUACCAGGCAAAAAUGGUGAAAUGACUACACACUAGAGGAAAAUGUGGUGUUUUAAAAUAUCUGAAUAACCACAAGGAAGAGAUGGGCAGAUUCAAGUGCUGGAAAGGAAUGGAGGAGCUUAAGGGUUGACCAAUCAGAGCUGGAACUCAAUGAAAAGCCACUGAGGUGCUCUGAGCAAGGCACCAUCCCCACACACUGCUCCCCAGGCGCUUAAAGGUUGCCCACUGUUCAAAAGAAGCAAGAGAACAAUGAGGUGAAUAGAACUGAGACUGAAGUAAUUUUGAUGUCAAGUUUUCUUUGUUGUUACAAGGGCAAAAAUGUUAGGUUGUUUUGGAUGCAGCCACUUGAGAGAAGUAUG